rnacentral:rRNA from 1 species
UGGCUUCGGUCAGACAGAGAGACAGGGUGGUGCAUGGUUGUCGUCAGCUCGUGUCGUGAGAUGUUGGGUUAAGUCCCGCAACGAGCGCAACCCCUACGUUUAGUUGCUAACGUGUAACGAUGAGCACUCUUAGGCGGACUGCCGUUGACAAAACGGAGGAAGGUGGGGAUGACGUCAAAUCAUCAUGCCCCUUAUGUUCUGGGCUACACACGUGCUACAAUGGCCGGUACAAAGGGACGCAAAGCCGCGAGGUGGAGCAAAUCCGAUAAAAGCCGGUCUCAGUUCGGAUUGCAGGCUGCAAUUCGCCUGCAUGAAGUCGGAAUCGCUAGUAAUCGCAGGUCAGCAUACUGCGGUGAAUACGUUCCCAGGCCUU